UACAGAGACUGCAAGCGUUAUCCGGAAUCAUUGGGUUUAAAGGGUCCGUAGGCGGUUUAAUAAGUCAGUGGUGAAAGCCCAUCGCUCAACGAUGGAACGGCCAUUGAUACUGUUAAACUUGAAUUAUUAGGAAGUAACUAGAAUAUGUAGUGUAGCGGUGAAAUGCUUAGAGAUUACAUGGAAUACCAAUUGCGAAGGCAGGUUACUACUAAUAUAUUGACGCUGAUGGACGAAAGCGUGGGGAGCGAACAGG
rnacentral:rRNA from 1 species